rnacentral:lncRNA from 1 species
UAAAAUGCAUAGUGACACAAUGAAUAUAUAAGUGUUAUAAUGUAUUAGUUGUGGUUACAAUUAUUCACGAGAUUGUACAAUGCAUUAUAAGGCAUAAUUAAUGCAUUAACAAUGCAUUAUAAGGCAUAAUUAAUGCAUUAAAACUAAUUUUAUACAUAAAGGCUUUAAGUAAAGUGUUACCUAAUAAUUUAUUAGUGUAAAAUAUCUUAUAUCUGUCCAAUAAGAACUCAACCAAAAGCUCUACAUGUUCCUCAACCUUUGCAUGGGAGUUAUUAAAUAUUUUAGCUAAUUUAUUUGUCUUCAGCUGCCACAGAUAUAUUAUUUACCAUGUUUAAAGCGAUUGUAUGUACGAUAUUUUUAACCUUGAAAUAUAAUAAUCAAAAUCAUUAAUCAAAAUCGACUUUAUUUACUUUACUAGCGCACAUUGUUAGUCUUAUAUGUAAACAAUUAAUCCGUGCAAGCUAAUCCGCUGAAAAAAAAAUUUCUUCGUAAUCUUUAAUCAAAAUCUGAACAUUUACUUCCGCUCUAGUGAUGGGUCGUUCUUGAACGAUUCGUUCAUUUUGAACGAAUCUUUAAUGUGACUCGGGAAGAACGAGUCGCCUCGGGAGUGAUUGGGAACAAAAUUCUGCGAAAAGGGUGGAUUGCAUUACGGCAGCAACAAAUGCAAUUACACAAACUUAACUGUAGGGGGCUCUAAAGUCGUAAAAAACACACAACCACAUACAGUAGCUUUAAAUAGCCUACAUUUUGUAGAUUUUUCGCCAAUAAAUAAAAUUGUAAAAACGUUCACAGAUUUGGUCUGGUACUAAGAAAUCAUAAAACAAUGCAGGGAAAAACAUUUCAGUCCUUCAGGUUUUGUCGUCUUUCUCUUUUAGGAUUUGGGACAGUAAAUAGCUAUCCCCUCCUGGCGGACCCUCUACAUUCCUAAGACCCCCAUGGCACGUCUUUAUCAUCAGUUUCCUGCAGUCCUCUAUAGCUCCACAUCCCUGCCAGUUUAAAGGUUCCACAAUUUACUGCAGUCCAAUAAAAGAGGCCUUGUAUGGGGCUCUCAUUGAGGGCCAUCCUUCAGAGAUCUGCACUUACAACAUAGAACUGGACCCAGACCAGAAUGAAAUACUGAUUCUUCAUGCCUUACCACACUUGACUGAACAGCAAAAAUGUAAAACAUUGCCUUUGGUUACAGUGGAUGGAAUCGUAAGCUGUGGGGACCACAGAGCACAGGUCUGAGACAGCCAGAAGAGCGUAUUUACUUUGCCGCUGUACUGGCCAUUCCUUACUAAUGCCAGCUAUUUUCAUUGUGCUGCUGAUUUCAAAUACGUUAAAAAUAGAACAGACACCCUCUCUCUCUUCGUUCAACUCUCUUACCUUGUCACUCAGACAUAGCCUGACCAUAAACCUGUAGAUAAAUCAGGAACCUACUGGGGGAAAAGCUCUUUACUAAACAUUGCUCCUUAUCUGAAACAAACAUACUCACACGUGUGCUGUUCUGUGACGAUCAAUAAGACAGAUAAAUGAUAACUCAGUGGGUUGAAGCUGACUCAUACAGUCUCAUUGUGUUCUCUUCUAGCACUCGGAGGUCAGGAUAUCACUGAUGGGAAUCUGUGUGAGACCCAAACAUCAAUGAUUGGUGUGAUUGGAGGCCAGCGGUAAAGAUGGCCAGAUCCACAUGGCCAGGAGUCGUAUGCGGUUUAGCACACUGCAUUCAGUGAUGGCUGAUUGUUAUCAACGUCGCUGUCUCCAGAUCUCAGUAACAUUUAUCGAACUGUCCGUCAGUUUCCAGUCUUGUCAUUCUUCCUAUUUCUGGUAAGAAGAUCCAGUAAGUGGUUUGAACUUUGCGUUUUAAGUUUAAAGGGAUACUGUACCCACCGAUCAAUGCUCUGUCAUUCUGUCAGCCUCAUGUUAUUCCCAAAUUACUUUCUUUCAAACACAGAAACUGCACUAUCAGUU